UCUUUUAUUCAUAAUCUGGUUUUACGCUAGAUUCGCCCAUCAUCCGGCUUUGGUAGAGUAUCAGGUAUUGAGCAAUGACCACGCAGAUAUAAACUGAGAGAAUAUAAAAUGUAAUAAAUAAAUCGGUGUUUGACUGACGCAAAUAUACGUUACACGUUGUCGAUUACAAUGGGCGUUUGUGAAUAUAGGUAUAUUCUUGAUUUGAAUUACUUUCAAGUUGAGGUUUUUUUCCAGACCUAUGAAAUUCUAGUUCUACUUGUAAGUGUUUCAGCAGUCACAUACGGAGCCUUAGCGAAAAAAAAUAUGAAAUAAAAGUGAUCAGUAUCAGUAUCAGCCAGUUUAACAAGCUUAUCAUAAGUCAGCAGAUAAUGUGGAGUAUAUUAAUUUUAGCCGAUGCACGAGUUUGAAAUGCGUUGUGAUAGGAUGUGAUCUUAUUCGCGUUUAAGGGUUUUACAUGCAAGUUAUUUCUAAAAUUUCCUUAUCUACGGUGGUGAAAUACGCGAACGAUGCCGUAAAAUGAUAGAUAAUACGGGUCGUAUUAUUGUUACAGUCAUAUUUUGCAGUUUUACUUGGAUCAGAAUUAACCUAAUGCAAUUACCGUUGUUCGUAAGUGUUUUCGUGAUGAUGUAUCUAUUGGUUUGCUCAAGUUUCCACAGAGAUUAUCUCGAGUAUGUGGGCAAUUUACAUACAAACGAUAGAUAAAUAAAACGUUUGAUGAUUAUAUCACUCAUGGUCUCCACUUCUUGUCUCUUGAACAAUGAAACAUUAACAUGCUCGAGUUGAGGUAAACAGCGAAUCCCAGUAAAUUUCUGUCGGCAAGGAAGUAUCCGUCAUUUUACAUAUCGCAAUGCCGAUCAUCGACUUGAAAAAUGGCAAAAUUUUCAGUAGCCGUCCCACGGUGAAGAGGAGAAGAAGCGAAGAAUAGAUGAGAAAUCUUUGGAAAACUUGCAGUUCAAAAUACAUUUCGACAGCUAGGACACUGGCUACUGCUAGGAAACGAGCUCUCAGAAUAAACAAAUAUUUUGUUUGUUGCCCUUUUUAUAUCCCCCUACGCAAGCCGUUCUUUGAUCUCCUCUGGGAGAGCGGUGAGAACACGUUUCGUGACGAGACCAAACAAGGGCUGCCUCUCUCCUGCCAGGAAAUAAAUGGUUUGGUGUCCUCCUGCUAUGGUUGGACAUUUGACGAAACACAGCCAGUAGUGGAGUCUCUUCUAAAGAAGAAGGCCUAGGAUAUAGAUAAUUUUUGAUACGAGCGUUUGCAGAGGUAAUGCAACAUUUAUGCUGUCUACAAGUAAAUACUCACAGGGAGAGUUUGAGAAAAAGGUCAAAGUUAAUCCCUUUUUUCACUUCAACAUCUACUAAUAGCCUAUUUCAAGAAGACAGAAGCCGCAAGGCACCGAGAUCCAUUCGAAAACGCAAAAAAAUUUCGUGUGCACUGCUAAUCAAUGACAUCUUUUUGUGAAUUUUGUCAAAUUUUCUUGCGUGAAUAUUGAAUUUUCGAUGACGUCAAACUUAGAGUGCCCCAAGUUGUUUCCAUAUAUAACCAUGCCAAAUUUUCUUUAUAUUUCGUGACCAUUGUCACGCUCAAGAACCAGAAAUAACGAUUUAUUGACGUCACUAGUCUGAAAACUUCAAGCUCGUUUGUUUUCACUCAGUCUGGUUGGAGGAUUAUUUUAGAAGUUAUCGCGUGAAAUCGUAAUGGAAAGAAACGGUAGAAGAAGUUAGAUUUUCUGUAUGUGGUUCACUUGAAACGGCGUACGAUGGUAUUCUUAUGAUUUCGUACCUGUAAUUUCCAAACGAAACUCCUUGUGUGUAAACUGAAAAAUGUAUUACGUGACAGUCCAAAGGUGCCUCGCUUUGGUCAUUAUAAGGAAAUUAGGUCUCCCUGUAUGAUGAUUAUUACAUAAUU
rnacentral:lncRNA from 1 species